rnacentral:misc_RNA from 1 species
AAGUCGUAACAAGGUUUCCGUAGGUGAACCUGCGGAAGGAUCAUUAUUGAAUUAUGUUUCUAGAUGGGUUGUAGCUGGCUCUUUGGAGCAUGUGCACGCCUGUUUGGAUUUCAUUUUCAUCCACCUGUGCACUUAUUGUAGUCUUUGGUUUGGGUAUUGAGGAAGUGGUCAACCUAUCAGCAUUUGCUGGAUGUGAGGAGUUUGCAGUGUGAAAGCAUUGCUGUCCUUUACUUUGGCCAUGGAGUCUUUUGCCUGCCAGAGUCUAUGUCAUUCAUUAUACCCUCUCGAAUGUUAUCGAAUGUUUUCACAUGGGCUUUCAUGCCUAUGAAAAUUAUAAUACAACUUUCAGCAACGGAUCUCUUGGCUCUC